rnacentral:sRNA from 1 species
CUCCGCUGCGCUCCUACAGUUGGGCCCUUCUUUCUCCACCUCCCUCCCCCUCCCGCGCGUUGCUCCGGCUUGUGUUCCCGGGUUCCCUCCCCGGCGCGUCUUUCCCGGCCCGCCCGGUGCAUUGUGGGCUGACGUCUUGGUUUGGCUGUCUAGUGACGGAGGCUGCCGGGUCCGCUGGACCCUUGCGGAGUCUGUCGGAGGCGGGCUCAAGUUCAGGGCUGGGGACCCAGACCGAGACGCGGGGAUCCAGAAAGCUGGGGAGACGCGCUGGUGGCCUGGGGCGGAGGGCUUGGGUGGGAGUAGAGGUUACACACACACACACACACACACACACACACACACACACACACACACACACACACACGAACACACGAACACACCCGUGAAAGGGCUGAAUGAUCUGGGCGAUUGAAGCUGGCUCCGCACCCCCGCACUUCCGGGAGACAGAGCGACGCGGGUUAAUAUGGUUGUGUUCGCCCCGGGUGCGGGAGCGGCAAGUGGGUUGAAGUUGAGCGGGUUUGAGAGUGGCCCUCCCACGCCGAGUGCGCAUGGAAGUUUAGUUUCGGAGAAGGAUCUGCGCCGCAGUGUGCUGUGCUGGAAACCAGAGAUUUGCUGUGCUCGGAAUGAAUUCACCAGGGUCCCCGGCACAACACUUCAUUUUCUGGGGACGUGCCGGGAGGGGUUCGCUUUACCUCGGAGGGACCCCCUUCUAGGUGUGAAAGAUGCCACCCCGGCUCCUUGGGGUAUGGAAAGCAACAUAUAAAGGUUCGAAACUCAGGAAACCCCAGCGCUCGCCUGCACUAGCACAUACACACAGCCCCGCGCACACUCAGUUCGCGCCCGCCCUUCCUCCCUCCCUGAUUUGCUUCUGGGAAAACAAGCCUUGAGAGCUGCGGACUCGCCCCGAGUCACGGUGCUUAAGCAGGAGUCCCUGGUAGAAAGACUGAAAAAUCCCCUCCCCGCUCGAUGGUGGAUUCAUAUCCUGUGCGGCCUCUAGGAAGCGCUAGACACAUCUAUCUUGGGAGGCAUACAUUUUUACCUAGACUUUUCGUGGAAGGAAAUGGUCCCAGAAAGUUCAUGCGUCUUGCUUGGGGUAUACAGACAGCUGGAAAGUGAGCUCAGGCUUGCUUCAGAAAGUCACACAUCUUCCCAUGUCACCUGACAAUACAAGGGACUUCAAGGACAUACAGAAGAACAGAGUCCUUGGUCUCUGAAUGACCCUGUGGAAGGAUACUCACUGGCCAGAAGUAGUCCUUCCAGACUUUGAAUGACAAAUCAACUUCAUUGUGCUGGUCCACUGGGAUUUUGGAGUAAAGAUGGCAAUAUCUUCUAAUUCCACUUGGUGUUUAGGAUGCCCUUCAUAAGAAGAAACCCUGGGUCAAAGUUGAGGCUUAUGUUCUGGCUUUCCCAGCUUGAAAAGAAAGAAACUUGUAUACUGUCACCUUCCUAUUGAGGGUGCAAACUUCAUGAGGUAUGUUAGGUAUGUGUUUGUCUUUUUCUGUUUCUCAUCUUUGAGUGGGUGUUUAUUGAAAUGCCAGGUGCUUUUCAGUUGUAUUUCUGAAUGCAAGCAGUACAUAUUGUUAAACAUUUUAUUAAUAUAUUCAAUAUUUUUGAGUGUUUAUUGCAUUUUAGCAACUGGUAAUCAUUGCUAAGCAAGAGCUUCUCGGCAUGCCCAUUGGAGGAGGUAUAGCAAGGGAAAUGGAUGAGAGAGAAGACAGGGUGAGGCCAGCCUGAUAGUGUUCUGAGUUACAGGAUUCCUGUGUGGAAGGGCCUCUCUGCUAAGGAAAGAGGUUGAAGAAAGUGCUUUGGAAAAACUGGUUAAUCAGCAGAAACUUCCAAAGUAGGUGGGAAUAGCUGGAAGAAGAGGAGACGUCAGAGAGGACGUAUUCUAGGAAGAGGGGAUGUAGAUGUUACGGACCAGGGCAUAUUUGGAGCUGUAAAGGAGGGGUGAGGUGGAGGGACUUGGAAUAGAUACAUCUGUGCACAUGCUUAAAAGCCUUGGUAGGCUUUAUAAUGUGGUCAAGCACCAUAUGAAAAGUGUUUAUUUUCCUAGGAGAAGAUGUACCACAGCCAUCAGGAUGUAGCCAUUUGUGUAGUUUCUACUUUAUUGUGUUAUGCUCUUUGUUUCAGAGUUUUCUACAGUGAACAUGCUUUACACUUGCAGAUAGAUAGAUAGAUAGAUAGAUAGAUAGAUAGAUAGAUAGAUAACCCCAACAUGUUUUCCAUCUGAUUAGUUGUGAUCCUAUCACCUGGCCCUUGAAAGAAGUCCUCUGGAAGAGCUGAGGCACAGAGAUGAUUUCCAGUGAAGCUCAAAGUCGUUCAUGGAGAUGUUAUUGGAUUGCGCUGGGGACCGCAGUUCCUUGAUAAUGAGUAAUUGUUUGCUCAAGCUUUAGCCAAGUGUAAAUAUAAAUAUAACCGGGAUGGUUUACCCGUCCAUUGCCAUCCAUGCACUACUGUACCGAGUGCUGUGGCUGACGUGAGAACUGAAUGCAUGGAGCUGCAAUGGUGGACUCCAGGCCUGCUUCGUCAUCGUCAGAUAUGUCAUUUAACAGCUGAGCCUCGCUUUCCUCACAUGAAAAAUGAUUGCGAUGAUUGAUAUUUACCUCAGAGAAUUUAAAUGGGACUGCCACCGUACCUAUGGGAAAGUCACUGCUGAACUGGUGACAUUUCUGUAUAUAUGUAUGUUAUUUAGUGUUUAUAUAUUUAUACGUGGAUUCCUGAAAUAGCAGUUCCGCAGAGUUGAGCAUUAGAAAACAGCUGGUCUUUUGCAAGGCCCAGUUUGAGGCAGACCAUACAAGCUGCUAGAAUACCCUGGCCACAGUGUUAAGACAAAACUGAAAGAAACACAAACUGAAAGAGAUUUGAAUGAGGAAAUACACCCACACUUACAUGCUAACAGCUAAUAGGGGACUUUACUUUGAAGCUAGCCAAGGUUGCUUGACAGAAGGCUGAGAAAAGAUGAGGCUGCUGAGUGAAGCCAGAGAGAUUAUGCUCAAAGUCAAGUAGAUACCAUACAAUAAGCUUUUCCAAGGUCUAUCAUCUUGGGAGGAAAAACAAACCAAACCAAAACCCUUAUAUUGCUGUCUUCCCACUGGUCAGCAGACUUUCAGUAACUCUGCCUUGCUGUAAGGUGCAUCACAGUGUUGUGCAUUAGAGCAGUGUGGGCCACACAGGCAACUGGCAUGUUUCAAACUUCCACAGAUUUCUUGGCUUCAUUAUCAGGAGAAGUAUGCGAUCCCAUAGGUAAUGUUCAGUAAGAGAUGUAUCUGUCCUGCCCCGUCUCAGACUGAUCACGUUCUGCCCUCUGUCUCCUUGGCUGUAGGGCUCCUCUUCACUGGCUGUGAACUCCUUAAGUAAGGUUCCUGAUGUUCAUGUUUGUUCUCUAAGGUUGAGCACAGGGUCGGUCCCUGGAACAGAGCCGUUGCAUUGCAGUUGAACUUCUAGUAGCCAAGGCAAACCUCUGGACCCUCUGUGGUAGCACCAGGAUCCACCAACAGGCAACACAAGCUGAGGCCCGGAGGCUUCUGUGGGACCAUGUAUGAUUCCACUUCAUCUCCUGCAACCCUGUUGCUCUCCAAUAUGGCAAGAGGAGCAUUGGGUCUUCCUCCUUUGUUAAGACAUUUAUACCAGUUGAGCAAGAAGUCGGUGCUAGAGCGGCAGCAGCCGGUUUGGAGCGCAGUCUCUUCCUCAUGGAACCCUGGCCGGAUCACUGGUCUUCACCACCACUGUAAACUUCUAAAUUCCCUCUUGUUAAACAAAUUAGAGUGGGUUCAAGGUUAUAUUUUGAUAUUAAUAGUUUUACCCUCAUCGCCCCGUGAUCAAAGAGAAAAGGGUAAGGGGACAACUAUCAGCUGGAACUGUAGUACACUUUCCUUCUCUUACAGACCUAGUGCUUCCAAUGCGCCCUGGCUGUCUCUCCACACUCUCAAGGUCUUCUUCACUCAUCUUCUUGGCUGUGUGGAUCUGAAAACACACAGCGUUUGUCCGUAAUCUCAUCCUCAUCCACACUGACUGUGGAUAACCGGAUGUGUUUUGUGAGGCCCCUCAGUCUCAACAUGGUUUUACAGACUCGGUCCUAAGCAGGUAUCACAUUCUUACUGACCCACAGCUGCUGUGCUACUUAGGUUUGUGUCUGUUGGAAUUCCAGGGCAAAUAUUUAUAAUUAUAUCAGCUCAGAGAGUACUUCUUCUGCAUACUUCUGAGUUCAGAACCUCAGACUUUUUUCUUAAAGCUACUCAGCGUCUCACUCAGCCAGAGGAGAAGAGACCUGUCCGCUUUAGCUCUCCACUCUUUGUAGUUCAACAGCAGCCUGGUUUAGGCCGGGACAAGGGUGAAGGUGGUGGAGGUGGUGGUGAUGUAUUGAUGAUAAAGAGAACAAUAAUAUCUAUGAGAAUUUUAUUACCCCCAUUUUACAGAUAAAACAACUAAGCUUCACAGAGGUGAGGUAACUUCCUCUGCCAUCCAGGUGGAUGGUCAGGGUCAGGAGCCUCGUGAGUGAGAACAACAGGUCUGUCGAGUUCUGCAGGGCUGAGCUGUUUAUCAUUGCGGAGGACACUCAUCACUGUGCUAAUUACAUUAAUUGCUGCCCACUCUGAGGCUAGCUCCUUCCUGCAAUGGCCCAAGACUGUAAUUACAGGUUGGAUUGGUUGGAAGUUGGUUGCUCUCUACCAUGUAGGGGAAAGGUCAAGACUAUGAACAUUGCUCUUCAUCAGACGCCUUACUGGAAGCAGAGAGGAAGGAUGAGGGUUCCUGUGGUAAUCUCAUGAUUCUCUAGAAGCAGGUGCUCUCCUACCCUCAUUCUGUUUGAGGGAGCCUGGUCAGCUGCUUGGAGUCCAAGAGCUAGCGGGAGAGGAGACAGUCUGAAAGCAGGAACCAUCAGAAGUCAUCCUUAGUGCCCAUAACAUAGUACCCCUCACCAGGACACUGCUCUGUCUGACACUGAAGUAUUGGCAGGGUCGGGCAAGGUGCCAACAAGUGGGUUUUGUCUAUCCCUAAAUGAUGACUGCUUGAGAUCUCACCUGCUCUGCCUUCCUUCCUGAGAUUCCAAGAGAAAUUGCUUGGAAGUGUAUUAAAUGCAAACUAAGUCAGAUGUAAGCCAUGGUGUUUUUCUGUUUGAUCUGUUAAGAGGUAAUUUGGAGACUACUUCUGCAUACUUGUUGAACAGAGACAGAGUGGCUUUGGUAAUUCAUCAUAAUUGAGUAAGUGACUUAACUUCCACAGAAAGCAGAGGAUAAUUUGGGAAGUCACUGGCUUUGGAAUGCUGUAUGUUCAUGUACUUUAUGGGUGUGCCCAUAUCAUUUGUGUGGGUAUAAAUGUCAAUGAGUUUGUGUGUGUGUAUGUGUGUGCAUGCGUACUCAUGUAUACGGGUGUGUGUGUGUGUGUGUGUGUUCCUGUCACACUUCCUGCCAGAGUUCAAAUUUGAAUGUCCGCUGAAAACCAUGUGUUAAAAACUUGGUCCUCAGCCUGAUGCUACCGGAAGAUGCAUCUAGAAGUUCCUUCAGUAGGUGAGGUGUAGUGGGGCACGCUCUAGAAGAGGAAGGGGGAAAUGGGUACAUUUCUCUUUUUGUCUUUUCCAUAAGGUGAGUGGACUUCUUUGGAUAAGCACUCCUGCCAUGCUGUUCUGUGUCACAGUCACAAGACAAGGAAGCCAAUCAGUACCAGACUGAAACCCCCCAAACUGUGAGCCCUCCUUCAGACUGACUUGCCAGCACUCUUCUUAAAGCAGAAAGCUGACUAGCACACCCACCAACCUUCUAUGAACGAGAUUUGAGCUCUGUUCUACUAAUCUUAAUGCAUUCUAUAAUUACAUAGGGAAGUAAGGAUAUUUGGAAGUAGACCAGAGUGUAUCUUGGUUCCGCCUUUAUUAACUGCCAUGCCUUGGACAAGUCACUUCACCUCUCUGGGCACUGAUUUCUCAUUUCUAAAAAUAGGGAUAAUAACAGUCCUGACUUGAUGGCACUCCUACAGGCUAGGAGGUUUCUGAGGGCAGGAACUAUGUUUAUAUACUGUUCUGUCCUCAGCCAGAAUGAGGUUUGAGCUGAGUGUGGCCUUGGAACUUAAGGUAAUACUUCUAUUCUGAAUCCAAUAUUUCCCAAUUGGCUGAGCAGCCUUGGAGAAAUUACCUAAUGUUCCUGAGCCUCAGAUUUCAUACCUAUGGAAUAGAGAUUUUUUAUUCCUCCUUGAAAUGAUUGCUGUGUGGUAAGGUGAGACCUACAAAGGCUUGUGUGGCAGAUGGUUAGCACAUAGGAGGCAGCUGGCAAAGCUUGCUUCUCUCAAAGUCUAGUCUCUGUCCUAGAGUGUUACCUUCACCAACAGGUAUUGAAUUUCCACUUGAUCUGAAAAUCUCGUAUUUGGAUCUUCACCACCACACCCGUCUUUCCCAUUUCUUUCUUUCCUUUCCUUUCCCUGUGUUGCCCUCUCAUUCGGCUCUGCUGUGACUGAGUUCCUCUGGACCAACAGUAGGCCCUGGAUGCUCAGCCCUCUCACUAGCCUCGCCUCCCUCAACCUCUCCUUCCACAACCCUGGGCAGAUCUUGUUCUCAUGGACUGCUUCCAGCACAGGCUACUGCCUCAGCUCUGGCCUAACUGGCUGUGUGAGCCUUCUGGUAAACUCUGGCUUUACUAUGGCAGAACAGUAGAGACAGAAAGAGGGACCUCAAAACAAACACAAGAAACUGGUUAACCCAAAAAGACGGAAUGCGCUUCUCUAACAAAUGGAACACGCACAAGAAAUGGGUUUGCAUACAUGUACCUGCUCUUUGGAGUAUAUGCUCACUGCCAACCCCUUAUUCCUCUCUUUUCUCUCCCCCAUCUCUCGCUCUUGGUUUUUUAUCUUUUUGGCUUUUCGAGACAGGGUUUCUUUAUAUGGUCCUGGCUGUCCAGGAAUUUGCUAUAUACAAGUUGGCCUUGUAUACGAAGGAUGGCCUUGAACAGAGAUCUGCCUGUCUCUGCCUCCCCAGUUGCUGGAGUUAAAGGCAUGUGCCGGCACCCCUGGCCUCUUGAUAGACUGUCCUUAUUUCUGUUUCUAAUCAUGUGACCCAUGCCCAAUUCUUUGCCACAGGACACAAGAACCUAGAUAUGGAUUCAAAUCCCUGCCUCUCACAGCAUCCCUAGUGCCAGCUCACUCUGGGUGGUAGCAACCACCAAUGGCUCCUGGCUGUGAUGGGAUAUUUCCAGAACUUUCUUGGUUUGAGGCUUUACACCUGUCAUCUCUCUUCCUUCUGAGGAUCUGCUGACUGGCACUCUUACUUCCUCAGGCCUCAGCUUACAGGCUGCCUCCUCAGAAAGCCCCCCUCCAUGGCUUAUGCAAAAUAAUACCACAAUUGCUCCUGAUCCCCUCCAUUUCGGCUUCCUUCUUCUCACCUGUAAGUGAUCCAGUAUGAAUUCAUUCAUUCAUUCAUUCAUUCACUCUAUUUUCAGUGACAGGGACUGAAGCCACAUUCUCAAUGUGUGCUAAGUCUGUGUUCUUAAUUUAUUCUUAAUUGUUUCUCUCCCUUAGGUAGCUUGUGAGCAUAUAAAAACAGGUUGUGUGAGCCUUCUGCAGACCAUGACACAUAGUAGGUGCUUAGACAAAACACACCAUGGUUUGAAUGUGUGUGACCACUUAUGAAAUAGUAGGGAGGGGCCUACAGGAUGUGUUAGGCAAUUCCAGGCCUAUAUGGUCCACUGGGCAAAUGACAAGGCCUUAAUGAAGUCAGGUCCCCCUAAAGGCUUCUGUGGAAGUCCUACUGUGUGCACAAUAGGUUCAGGAGCAGGGUCGUGGCAUCAACACAAUGAAAAGCACAGUUCCUGCUGGCUUUUGUGCUCUGUGGCUCCUAUAACAAUUACAAGCUUGGUAGCUUAAAUAGUAAAAAUUUAUUUUCUCACAAUUACUAGACACCAGGACAUCUGAAACUAAGGUGUUAGUUAGCAGGGCUGAGCUCCUUUGGUGGCCUCUCCCCUGUGGAGAGUUGUUUCACUUUCAGCAGCAUAACUUUGAAAGUGUUUUCACUGUGUCUCUCUGUAUCCCAAAUCUCUUUCUUUCUCUGAUAAGAACACACGGUUGAAUAGAAAGCUUGUUCUGAACCUCAAGUGAUCUCUCUUUGAAACCCUUCCUGCUCCAAAGACCCCACUUCCAAAUUAGGUCCCCUUCAUAAGGACUGGAGCUGAGGACCUGGCUGUAUUGUUUAACUCACCACGGUGCCUUCCAGGAAUGUCUUGUCUGAGAGUGGGACAGGCACAGCUUAGCAAUCAGUGUCCCAAGCAAGAGUGAGACCAACCAUUAUGGCCUUAGGCAGAGAUUAUUCAGUAUAUUUUAGUCAAGAUUCAUGCGCAGAGACUUUGCUGGGGAGCAGAGAUGACAAAAUGUAGCCUCUGCCCUGGGAGAGUUCAUGGGAGAAACGGAAGUAAGUCUGCCAGUGGGCCCUGGAGAGGUGGAGGUCGGCCCUGAAGCCCUGGGAGAUGAACCGGGGAGAGGAGUAAUGAGAAGGGUCUGAGGGGAGGGGUUCAGAGAGCUUCUUGGAGGAGGUGUAUGAAACACCGAGGCUCCAAGACUGAGAGAAUAGGAACCAGCUAGGCCAGAAAGCAGGGAAGGAUGAAGGCACAGAGAGUAGUAAGACUGGAUACAUAGAGGUGGAAUGGGGACCCGAGAAAAGUGGCUGCUGCAUUCCCCUCCAGGUCGCACUGGGGAGCCACAGAAAGACCUAGAGAAGGAAAUGAUAUCCCUGGACCUGCAUAUUAAAAUAAAAAGAACAGAAAGCCUGCUGAGGAAAGUGAUUUUCUAGAGGUUUGAAAUUAUAUUUGUGAUUUUUUUUAGAAAGUUUAACCUAUGUACAGAAAAGUGCUCAAGUCACAGAAGUGCAACAGAAAAUGUCCUCACAGACAUACCCACAGGCCCACAGACCAGCCUGAGGAAGGAUAUUUCUCAGGAACAACUGCAAAUGAAGCGCCCCUGUAUGUGAGGACAGCCCUGGGGUUGGGGGAGCAGGGACUAAAAGCUACAAAUGCUAAAAGCUCUGCAGUACAGACCUGACCCAUAGGUCCUUCUCUUAAGCCUGUAAGAGAGUGUGUGGCCCAGGACUGGACUGAACUGGAGCUCCCAGCAUGGUCUGGGGUGGAGAGAUUGAGGAAGGACUCUGUGUGAGCAGGGCAGAUCACUGGACUCUGCUUUUCUUGGCCUCCACUUUCUCUUCAACAGUCUGACAAUAGAAUUACUGCCCUCCUUGUGAUCGGAGUCUAGGGGGCUGACUUGGGGAUGAAAUGAAAAUGUGUUUAUGGUUUAGGGGUAGGGCCCAACCCAGGACAGCAUGUAGGCAAAAGCAGUGGCCAGGAAUUGACUCCAGAUUCCUUGGGGCUGGAGCUCUCUCUAUACAAAAGAAGGAAGUUGGAGAAGACUUUUAAUUCUUUUCUAUUUUUUUUCUCCUUAGAUUGUCUUUUUAGAAUCUUAAAACCCUGAUUCUUUUGUCUAAUUGGGGGACUUGAAGCAGUCUGUGGGAAAUGAAUGGCAUAUUUGAUAAUUAGGUAUCCAGUGUUGGAUGCUCGUCCUAGUUACUGUGAUAAACACCGUGACCGAAAUCAACGGGGAGGAGAGGGGUUAUUUGGAUGUCAGGGCAGGGAUGCAAGGCAGGAACUGAAGGAAAGACCGUGGUGGAGGAGCGCUUCUUACUGGCUUACUUCCUCUAGAUGCUCAGCUACGUUUCUCAUAGAGUCCUGGCCCAGGGAUGACAAUACCCACAAUGGCUUGGACCCUCCCAUAUUAAUCAGAAAUGAAGAAAAUGUCCUCACAGAUAUGCCCGCAAGCCAGUCUAAUGAACGCUAUUCCUCAAGUGAGGUUCCUUCCCUCCUCCCAAGUGACUCUCUCCUCAACUUAACAAAAAACUAACCAACAUAGCACACCUUUACUGAGGCCUGUCAUGUGUGAGACCCGCCCUGCACAGCAGACCACUUGGGAAACUUCCAGGUUAGUAUAAUAUUGUUCCAAGGAAUCUCUUCAUGUCUGAUGGCUGAAGAACUUCCGGGGCCUCAGAGAGAGCAGCAGUAGCUCAGAGUCUACUGGCAGGCACAUUAAGGGCUAAAAUACUGCUUAGGUAAAUACACCACUGCAAGUACCUGUAGUCAGCUCUUAGUGGUCACCCUAGAGUGGGUAGCAGUUGGUUGGAGUCCAGGAAGAUUGUGGGAGCUCCAGCAAAGGGUAUGUGUAAUUGCCAAACCGUUCUGUUUGUUAAGACAUCUGUGGAUAGCAGGAUCUGUCCCUACCUGCCUGGUUCUCCGGGGAGGGGGAGGGGCAGUCAGUCACUAGAACAGAGAUGGUCUCACACACCAUGUUCUUUCCCAGGCUGGAGUAAGUACAGAUGCUAGACUCAAGGGGAGAAGAGUGGUCAGGGAACAGUGCCAGUGCUGGUUGGCAUCUGGGUCAAGCCCAGAAGACUCAUGGAAGUCUCGGAGUGCCAUCUGCAUCUCAUCAGAGGGGCUCUGGGUUGACUUGAGUAGUCAGGCAACUCUGGCAGGCACUGGCUUUAAGGCAUUGACUGAGUUGGAUUUGAGAGCCCUAGAUAGAAUAUCGGGCUAAACACUACAUUUUUCAGAACCAGUUUUUCACCUGCUAACAAUAUCACAAGUGUGGAGGUUUAUACAUAGGCAUAUAUGCUGUUUUUAGGUACUGUAAUUCUUACUAAAUAGUAUUUGUAACUUAUAUUAGGAUGGGGGGUGCCAGGGGCUGUGUCUGUGUACAUCAAUUCCUAGUAAAAUGACCAGCAACUUCUCAGACUCUUUAGGCUGGGACUAAUGAGGGGAAGUUUGGGUCAAGCUGGUAUGCCUGGCGCCUACAGCUGUGUCUCAAAUACUGAGGAAUAAACGAAUUCCACUACUUGGGUUUUCUUCAGGCCAAGCCCACUGAAAUAAAGAAGCUGAGGUUUCCAGAAAAGUCUGCUCCUCCGGUGUAGUUGGCUGGUUGACUGACGGUGGUCCAGUGAUAACGUUAUUGGCCUCUGGGUCGCUUUACACCCCGGUGGAUCUCUGAAACUGCUGUGGCCCCUUUCAUCCAGCCCACUUUCUUCGUGGGACUUAAAAUUGAGCACAGAUCAUGGAAGAUUUUCAUCAUGGUCCUGGGAGUUGGACUCCUAGUACCUGCUAUGGCUACAUUAGGGUCCACCUGGCUUAUUGGCUGGUAGCUAGUUCCCUUGGGAACCAGAACAAUCUUCCUGCACAUUGAGUAAUCUGCUUCCUUUCCCUGCCCGGGGCAAGAGUCGGCUCAGGGAAAGUGAAGAAACCAGUUUGGGGCAGCACUAGGGUGGGCGUGGGCUGGGCACUGCCAGGAACUCUGCGGCAAGACCAGUUUCCAUUGCUUCCGGACCGGAUGCAGGGCUGCGAUCCGGGCGGAGACCAGAGAAUUGCGCCCGUGAGCGCACCUAUGAGAGCCACAUGUUAUUCAGCAGACUGAGUCAAGCAGAUUGUCCUCUCUAACGAGGCUAACUCUUCUCCAGUCAGUUGAAGAGAUGACCUGGACAGAAAGGUAGGAAGAAAAGAAUUGUAGCUUUGAAUAAGACUAUCAGCCUUUGGGGGCUUUGUUCGGUUUUUAUGUUCACAUUCACAAUGUAUCAAUGACCCUUCUUGGGAUGUUAGACCACCCAGCCUUGGACUGAAACCACAAUAUCCACUCUUCUCUAUCUUGGACUUCAGAUAUGGAUCAGAACUAAAUCAUAGACUCUUCCAAGUUUUCAACUGCUGACUCAUCUUGUAAAUCCUGGGACUUUCCUGAGUCUGUGGUAAAUGUCACAUGUGCUGACUCCUUAUAACCCCCCCCUCUCUUAUGCUAACUCACUGUAGAACCUUGAUAAACAACACAAUAGGAUCAUCUUUGUCUCCAUUUGAAUGUAACAUGGCUUCUUCAGCCAUCACCUGUUUUUAUCUGCAGAACAGUUCUCUGGAUCAGACAGAGCAGCCCUCUGAGAAUCCUCACCUACAGAAGAGGAAACUGAGGUCUAAGAGGGAUUCUAUCUGUGCUUCUAUGGCCUAGCUGCCCAGAAGUAGAACAACUUCAACCCCAAAGUCAAGGCCCUGCAGAAAGUCAGGAAGGGUGGAAGAACAGCUACUCUCAAUUUUUAAUAUAGCAUUGGCCAUCAAUUUAGAAACCUCUUGAUAUCCCCUGAGAAGAAAUAAAAGACUAAAAAUGUGGACUUAGGUAAAUCUUAUAAAACAAUAUAGAAGCAAGGUCUAGUAGAAAAGCUGUGUCUAGACUUAAAAGAAGAAAAGCAUUUACCAAUAUUCUAGAUGAAUCAUGGUCUAUUUGGGUUUGAAACAAUUUGAGAGGUUAUUCCUUUUGAUUCUUUCUUUUCACAGUAAGAACACUAAGGCCCAGGGAGGAUCUUUGGCUUGUCCCUCUGUACAGCUUGAGGGGAAGACACUGCCUGCUUAGAGGCCUCAUCUGUCAAUCCAACACUUGAUUGUCUACACUGCAUGCUGAUGCUGACGACCCAGAUGCAGACUGUUUCCUCCAUGUUCUGUCCUCAUGGACUGUCUCUUUGGAAUAUCCCAUGUUCAUAGAUAUCAUCUGAGAUGUCGCCACUCACGGCCCUGCAUUUGUAGUGAAGAUGCUUCAGCCUCAGACAAUCCUGUGUCUCCAUCCCAAUCCCUUCUUACUAAUAGGGGAAAUAUGGCCACACGUCUUGCUCUUCAGGCUCUGGAUUUUGUCAUCAUGGAGGCCCAAACACAGUAUUUAUGACUCAUGGUUUCUCUUGAGGACUACGAGAUGAAGCCGGCAACACAAUAUGGACACUGUAAAUGCUCUACAAAUUGAGGGACAAGCCCUGUAUUAAAGGGGGCCCAGAAUACAUACUGUGUUCAAGGCUAUGUUGAUGCCAGUUCUGUUGGCUCAUGAAGCUAGCAGUGAACCACUCCUGUAUACUGAAGUAGUGGUGACUGUCCCUGUUGCUGUAAGAAGCCCCUUUCUUCUCUGGUCCAUGCUUUUCCAUUUAUAAAAUGGGCACAGUCAGAACUCCUACUGUGCAGGAGCUGAUGGUACUGCUUGGCAAGCCAAGCAAAGGAAAUGAGUAUUCACCCACUUACUAUCUUAUCUCCUCACUUGCUAAGGAAAAGCUAAUAUAUGGUUGGUAGAGUUCAGUAUAUGAUAAGAUUAUCAUUUUAAUUAUCAUUGUCACCAAGUUUCCUGGGAUAGGUGAAGCUCUUGGAUGACAAAGACUUUGACAAAAAUAACGGAUCAAGCAUAUCAGAGGAGUCAGGUAUGGGAACACCUGCCUGUAAUCCCAGAACCUGGGGGGCAGAUGCAGGAGGACUGUUGUUUGAAUAGCCUGGGCUACCUACUGAGUUCUAGGCCAGCCUGGGCUGUAAAAUAAGAUGUUUGUUUUCUGUUUUGUUUUUGUUUUUGUUUUAAAGCAAACAAACAACAAUCUACACAAUGAAACAUUCACCAUGUCUGGAGUCAAAAUGGAAAAUAGCAUAAAUAAGAUUUGUAGA